rnacentral:rRNA from 1 species
CCUACGGGGGGCAGCAGUGAGGAAUAUUGGUCAAUGGGCGAGAGCCUGAACCAGCCAAGUCGCGUGAGGGAAGACGGUCCUAUGGAUUGUAAACCUCUUUUGUAGGGGAGCAAAAAGGCCUAGUGAGGCCACAAGUGAGAGUACCCGAAGAAAAAGCAUCGGCUAACUCCGUGCCAGCAGCCGCGGUAAUCCGGAGGGGCCGGGCGUUAUCCGGAUUUAUUGGGUUUAAAGGGAGCGUAGGCCGGUCUUUAAGCGUGCCGUGAAAUUUUGGGGCUCAACCAUGAGAGUGCGGCGCGAACUGGAGACCUUGAGUGCGCGGAAGGCAGGCGGAAUUCGUGGUGUAGCGGUGAAAUGCUUAGAUAUCACGAAGAACCCCGAUUGCGAAGGCAGCCUGCCGCAGCGUUACUGACGCUGAAGCUCGAAAGCGCGGGUAUCGAACAGGAUUAGAUACCCCAGUAGUC